GAAUUUUUCCCGUUUUUUUUAAUAAAAAUAAUAUAACUUAAAAUAUCCAGUACAAUAUCUAAAAUUAUUUUAUGCAACAUAUCUGAAUGCAAUUUACAGAGAAUCUGUAUUGAUAGAAUUUGUCAAAUCUGUCAUUUAUAUUAAAUUAAUAAAAAAAACAGCACUAUAUUUUACAAAAAAUCAUUAUGGCUGAUAAUCAAUUGAGUAGCAAUAGCUUAUAAUUAUUCAUAUUUACAUUUUGUUUUACUUGAGUUUUUUACUUUACGUAUAAAUAAAUCGAUCAUCAUUCUAAGUAUGUAAAGCUUACCGUUAGCAAUCUCUAUUAUUCAAGCAUAAUCGUGGACAAUGACGUUACUAUCUAUACACAAAAUAGUAUUACACGUUAUACUUAUAAAAAAUAUUUGGAAAGCGGAAAACGCGAUCGAAAAAUAAAACAGAGAUGUUUCCAAAUUUACUCGUUUUUGUGUAAAAUAAACUUUUUAAUUAUUUUCGCAUAAUAUACGAUAAAAAGAUUAAAUAGAGUUAUAGCAAAUUUUCAGAAAGUCAAUCUAACGCAGGAUCUCACAAUCGGUAUUUUUGGCGACACUUUGUGUCGGUCAUGAUACUUUUCCGCCGCAAACUUCUCAUGGGGCACCGUCGGUGCUCAUGAAAUUACUUUCCAUUACGUGAAACUCGGUAACUCACGGAAGAAGUAAAAGUAAAAGCUUGGACGAUCGACGCGGUCCAGCGGCCGCCGCGCCGUUGGAUUUCGUGAGGGACAACUUCGGAAAUACCGGCGACAUCGCAGACGCUAGUAGUGCAGUCAAUAUAUAAUGCGCGACGUGCUCCUGCAUUUCAAAUUACCGCACAGUACUACCAGCGACGAACGUGCGGGCGUCACUUCCCGAUGCUGCCGAUCGCCCAGCAACAGCAAUGAUAAAGUAUCCUGCGGCGUCCUUCGCAUCUCAUGUUUCUCGUUUCGCGGCCUCGUUAUCGCUGAUUCCGCUGGAUCGAGGAGCAUGGAGUAAUUACUGGAAUCCUGAUUCAUCGAGUGUGUAAUUGAUAGGUGCACGUCAUAGAAUGACACAUCGAGAUUACGAUAACACCCAACUUGCGUGGUCCAGAAUGCAGCGAAUGAACUUUUCACUUAGAUCGACCGGCUGGUGGAUACUUGCGAAGGAAGCGAGAGCCUCAACUUACCCCUUAAGCGACCACCGAUUUCCACUUGAAGGUACCGUACUUUAUGUGAUUUUUCUACCUCCUUGUUUUUUUUUAAAAAGAAAAGCGAAGAUUAUAGAAGAAGGAGAAGUUAAAUAAGAAAAUUAUUUUAUAUUUAGCGUUUUGAAUAUCUAUUAUUAUUCGUUUGUCGAUUAUAUUUUUAUUCUAAUUAUUUCAUUGGUUUACCCGUUUUAUAAGUUUAUCUUUAAUUUGUUUUAACAUGUUGAUUGGACAAUUAUAACGCAAAAGGAGGAAAUGUGAUGGAGUAUUUGAAAAAUUUUAAUAAAAUCGAAUCAAAAUUAAUUGCGAUACUAUUCUACAUGAUGUGCGAGACAGUUGUAAUGGAGAUAUCGCGCAUCCGAAAACCCCGGUAAUUCGCGACGCUCUCCGAACGAGCUUUUAAGUACAUCGCGUGGAUUUUACUGCGUCCUUUUUCCAGCGUCAUAAAAUUUCUUAGCAACACUCUCCCCUCGCGUUGCUCUUCGUUCCUCUCAAGGAGAAUAAUCUUGCAAGCUGAAAAGGGGAAAAGACGUGAAAUGAUGACUCAAAGUCGGUAGCUUUUGCAAGAAGAUCCGAAGGCGAUGUUUUAACAGCGUCCCCCCAUCGGCGGAUGUUUCAUAUCCUCCCUUUGUCUCCCUCUGGGCAUGCGUACGCCGGCGUUUACAUAGAUCCGUAUGUGCGCGUGAGUAUCGCACGAGAACGAGAAUCAGUGCAAAUUAAAGCGAAGUGAGAAUAUUUUAAUACGUUUCUCCGUGAAUUCUGCACAUGUAAAAUCGGAUCGGAAGUUUUGGGAGGCGAACGUUUGCCCGCGUGAGAAUUUCCUAGGGAUUAAUAUUAUCGUAGGGAUAAUACUAAGGAAAUUAAUAUACUCUCUCGGUAGUUUUAAUGGCUUUUGCGACACGGUUGUUCUUUGUGGUCAAGUUGCGUUCAAACCUGCAAACAAACGUAGUAAACGCGAGGUAGAAUGCGCAUAUUCGUAGGUGAACACACCUAUGUACGUCUAUAGCCGCAGGCCGGCCACGCAAACAUGUCGCAAAAACAUCGCACACGCGAGAGACCCCCCUCCCCCCCCCGUGAAUGGUUUGCGGACGCACAUGAAGUACCACCAUGAGUGAGAAGCUCUUGUUUAAAUCCUUCCUGGAGAGCCAAGAGGUCGCUUCAUGAGUUUCCCACGUGAUUUUCCAGAUAGCAUUUCGAAGUAAAUAAAUCCUCCGGUUUCCGUAAAAAAGCACAUUCGAAACCUAUGAAAAAUUUUACUUUCUUCAUUAAAUUUGUUUUUUUUCUACUGAUAAAGUGGGAUAAAUCUAAAGUUUCCUGAUUAUAAAUUUCUUUUAACGUUAUAUAUAGUAUAUCAAUCAGUAUUUUAAUAAUUUACUAUCCGUUGUAUUCUUUUUAAAGAAUUAGAUGAGAGAAUAGAUAAGAAAUGAUUAAUCUAAUAAUUUCUUAUCCAAUAAGUUCUAAUACUCAAUAAUGGCAUUUAAAAUUCGCGAAUGGAACUAGAUGAAGAGCUCUCCUCGAGUCAACGAGGGAGGCGGAUGAAAUUGAAAUUCACAAACGUAGCAGAUCAUUUUAAAACGCGUCGGAUGUAAGCCUUAAUCUGCAAUUGAACGGAAACUUAAUGGCGGGCCAUCGGAUUCUAUGGAAUGUGGCAGAGCAGCCACUUGGCAAUCCGCUCAAAUACGCUGCAUCCGCGCGUCCAGAAGCCGAUCGGACUGCCUAUCUUCUGUUCGAUCUCACAAUCCGGCUCCGCUCGGUACACCUCCCACGGUAUCCUCCUCCCACACGAUGGUCGUGGGAAACCACAUCCUGGCGUGACUCCAAAUUGCGUGCAAAACCAUCAGUGGUAAAUGCGAGUCGAGCGUCGAGGAACAGAGUGGAUGGACGGAGAAAGAGAGAGAGAGAGAGAGAGAGGAGGGAGGGAAGGAGUAGGAAUUAGGAAAGGGGUGCUGUCGAUCGCGAUCGAUUGAGCCUAGCUACCGUACGCUGAAAGGCAAUUAAUCAUUAAUGACCUGCCGUAAAAGAACGGUGCCGGCUUUUAGCGGGAGAACUUUUGAAGUGCGGGACGAUGUACAGUGAAGUGUACCGUAAUUCGGAGAUACAGCUAAUUCGCUGAUAAUGAAAUUCGCAGCUGUUGAUCGUAUCGCCCGGGUAAGCGCAUUUCUUAAAACCGUUGCCUUGUACUCUCCUAUUUUAUUUAAACAUGUCACUUGCACAUUCUUAUAAAUCGUUUCUUUUUGCUCCAAUUUUAAUCAAGCAACGCGGGAGCGCAAUUGUUUUUUUUUUAUUUAUUUAUUUAAUUUGAGCCUCGAAUUUUCUAAUAAACGCGAGAUAAAAUGAAAGAUUGACACAGCCCCGUACUUUAUAAAUUCCACUUGUUGCCGCUAAGUUACACGCUAGCGCAGAGUCCGGAGCGACGGUGCCAUCCAAUCGUGUCUUUUCUGCGAUAAUUGACUGCGCGCAAGUGCCUCACUGACAGCCCAAUUACGCGCGAAGAUACUUACAAUCAAGCCAAUAAUUGUCGCCGACUGCCGCGGAUAGCACCGUGCGCUGCAAUAUUCGCCGACAGCGGCCGAUACAUCGGCGGUGGCAGACGUAAUUAGCUCCGACGCCCAGCACUGUUUCUAGAUUUCAAUUUCGUCGACGAGCACAGUGGAUUACUGAUACACGACGACGUCUCUCACCCCCGGUGAUGCCGGAGAAUAACGGUUCGCCCGUACUAAUCGCACUUUCACGGGAAUUCUCCCGAUUAGGACACUUGCUACAAAACAAUUCGCGUUACAAACGAGUACGUCUCGCAUCACGCGUUUCACAAAUGCUGCACCAUCGAUGACUAAAUUUAAAUUUCCAAUGAUAUAUUUACAUAUGAUACUUACGCGCUCGCAGAACGGUUUUGUAUCUAAAAAUUUAGCUUAGUAUAGUUUUGAAAAUAAUUUUGUUGUUAAUCGUGGCGGGUGCUCAAGCUGAUUGCUAGAACGUCAAGAUUUUCUGCCGCAUUAUUAUUGAAUAUUUCACGUUCCUGCUUUCCUUUUUACUUGAGGACUACUUCGGGUAAAUUAUAAUUACAUUCCGAUGUUAAUAUCGAAUCUGUGAUCUACUCGCGCGAAUGAUAGAAUUGACUCUACCCUAGCCAGAGGGGAAAUUGAGUUCUGUCUAUGAAAUAAUUAAUGCCAAGCUCGCAGACGACACGGAUGUUGCGCGUCACCACGUUAACGUCCUCGACCUCCUCUCCUUCGCAAUCCCAGAACGCGGCCCGCCAUCCCGUCCGCCGGUCCCUCGUGCCGCACGACCCACGACCCUUCGUUUCACCUGCGUCACCUCCUGCGUCUGCCUGACCGCUGCCGCCACCGCCAUCGUUUCCGGUCAUAACUCAAAAUCCCUCAGGUGUGCUAACCGCGUAUGCCAGCGGUCACGUUGGAAUGUUAGGCCGCGAGUUUCCACCAUUAUUAAGCCUCGUCCCGCGUUUGCAGUCCUCGCACGUGCGCCGCGACAUACACACACAUAUGACCUCUCUUCUCUGCCUGCCGAGGCCACGCGAAUAUCAUCGGCAGAAACGCCGUGGUCCCCACGUUUCACGAAAUUUCGCCAGAGCGACAAAUUCGAGCGACCGUGAUAAAUUUGCGGCUGUAAUAAAUGGAGCAGCCGAGAAUAAGCCGCUGGUAAAACGUUUUAGUCUUGACACUUAAGGCAUUGCCCAACAAUUAUCCAACUGAGAACUAGGGGAAAGAGACACUUUCCGUGAUGAAUUUUACAAAGGAAGGAUGAUAUAUGUAAGUUUUCUGAUUAACAAGAAAUUUUCGUAGAAAGAAAAGGAGUUUAUAAUGUGCGGCGAUUUAUCCUCGAACGAGUGGCGAUGCAUGUAUUCCGUGUAUAAAUAGCGAUCUCACGCGAUACAGAAAAGAACCGAUAAACUUUCUCGAUACUUGGCUGAAAGUCGCUUAUCGGUGACGAAAAUUAUUAAUUCAAACAUCGUCAGUAAACGUGCAUAUUUUACCCACAUCGGCCGUGAAUAUAAAGUUCCUGCACGGCGCGUGGUUCCGAGAAGGCGAGGUUUCGAACUUCUUCAACCAAAAUGUGCCAAAUUGAAGCCGAAUUAUAACUUUUCUGUGAUGUGUCAAACCGAACUUGAGCCUCGAUCCUGGAUGUAAAGUUCGAAGUCGACUUUUAUGAGCAUAGUUCCCCCGCUUUUAUAAGAUCGUCCUACUUUCUUUCUAGUUUGGCUUCCACUCUGUCACAGAGACCGCCGAUUGAUACCUGACAAUCGGGAUUAGAAAAUUCAACUGUUGUCGGUAGUCGCAAUCAAAAUUUAACUUUUCUUUGAAUUAAAAAAUGACUGGAGCGAGUUUAUCGUUAAUUCAAUUCUUGCAAAUGUGCAUUAAAGAUGAGAUAAGAAUACGUGACAUGACUACACGAUUAUCUUAUUAUUCUUUUUUAGAGUUGUAACAUGUUAAAAAUUUUUUGCUUCUUAACUUUUUAUUUGAAUAAUAAACUUUUAAUUUUACCAAAAUAUUAACGUAUCUUAUUAUCUAAUAGUUUCCAAUUUCUCCAGAGAUAAUAAAUUUAGAAAAUUAAUAUAUAUAUAUAAUAUAAUGUUUGUAAUAAUAUAAAAUAAAUUAAGUAAUAUAACAAUAUACUCAGAUUUUGAUAUUUAAAAAAUAUUAUAAAUUAUCUGACAUUGAUUGAUGAGAGACUUAAAAAUAUUGCUCACAAGUAGAUUGCAGAUUUUGAAAUUACUAUUACAUUACUUUUAAGUUAUUUUUUAAA